GUGCUCUCUUCGGCGGCACAUACACUGAAAUUGGAGUGAGACCGAGGUUAGCAUGGUUCUUGCCCGUGGAUGACAUGCAAACCCAUGAAGCAUUCCAUAUUUUA